rnacentral:rRNA from 1 species
GAAGGGGGGCAAGUGUUCUUCGGAAUGACUAGGCAUAAAGGGCACGUAGGCGGUGAAUCGGGUUGAAAGUGAAAGUUGCCAAAAAAGUGGCGGAAUGCUCUCAAAACCAAUUCACUUGAGUGAGACAGAGGAGAGUGGAAUUCAUGUGUAGGGGUGAAAUCCGUAGAUCUAUGAAGGAACGCCAAAAGCGAAGGCAGCUCUCUGGGUCCCUACCGACACUGGGGUGCGAAAGCAUGGGGAGCGAACAGG